UAAACAAAUUGCACAAGAACAGGUCAGCGCUCACGAUCACAUGCUGAAAACAUCAAGAACUCCACGACUGCAGGCACCAUCCUCGAUAUCAAAGUUCUGUCAGAAGCCACUGGCACUAAAGUUGUCAUCCUAACAGAGGACAGCAAUGGAAGACUUACCAAAAUGCAGGAGCUGAGCCCAGACACUCGACAUGCCAAUCAAACUGUGACCCUGAUCUACAGACCAAAGAGCCACCAAUACCCCGAUGGUCACUAUGAUGUGCACAUCAAUAACCAGACAGUGAGCAUAGACAACAAAGGCAAGAGCUGUCUGUUUUAUGCUUUGGCACGUGGAAUGAAACCACAAGCCAGUGAAAAAGAGGUCACUUUGGAAGCAAAUCGUCUUCGAUCUGUGGAGGCCGAUACUCUCCUCAGUUACCCAGCCCAAUGGGAGCCUUUCAUCAAGCAGAAAGAAUUAACUGAAACAAUCAGGGGAGGGGACUGGUACAUGUUAGAGGGAGCUGGAGCCAGCCAUAAAAGAAAGCAACGCGUUACGUCUGAAAUUAGUUGGCCAAGUAGAAAAAUUCAAAAACUGGCAAACACAUGCAAAAAAAAAAUUAAAGGAACUGGAAAGUUCAUCAAUGCAGAUCACCAGCCACCAGUCACUUGCAUAUUUAAGGCCAGAAAAUUGAACCAGAAUAGCAGAUUAGCAGAAGCCAUGCUUGAAGUGGCAACAAACUCAUCUACUGGGAACAUUUCUGAUGUGCACAAAUAUCAUGGCCGUGAACUUCCAACAGUUUAUGUACCUGCAGAAGUACAUCGUGAAUUUCCCAGUACAAAAUCACCAGCCUUCAGAGACCUUUUGGCUAAAACCAUAAGUAGUAAUGAUGUUGUGGGUACUUUCAAGCUGACAAUCCUUGGUUCAAUGCCAAAAUUCUGGUUGGAUAGUAGCAGGAACUUCAAAAACUUUCAGAAUAAAAAUAUAAGCAAAAGCAGACUUAAAGAUUUUGAAAACAGUUUUCCACACCACAGUGAAAAGAUGGUAAAGGAAUGGUUUGACCAGCUUAAAAACAAAGGUGCUAUGACAGAUGACCAUCUAACUACUAUUAAUAAUUGGAUCGCUAACCAGGGCUACAAAGAUCAAAACGAUCCACACAGGAAAGAAGUUGCCAACCUCCUCUGAUGAAAAGUUUGCAAGAGAAGAGAAUGUGACCCUUACAAGCAAAUGAAGUACAGUGAAAACCUGGAGAUCUUCCACCUGUCUAAUCAUCAUUAUCAGAUAUCUCUGUGCCUUUGGUUUAAUUUUAACUUUUUAAUUUUAAGAGUGCUUAUCACAGAAAAAAAGUCCUAAUUGCUUGUUUAGCCAUUAUAGCUCAGUAUAGAUUGCAAAUUUAAGACAGGUUUUGUACUUUUUUGUUUUUUAUUUUACUUACUCUUGAUACUUAGAUAAUAUAUCUGAAUAUGUCAGAUUAUGUAAGACAACAAAAGAAUUAUGAUACAGACUUGGUCCAUUAUGUCAAAAGUCUCUGUGGUUUCUAAACUUGGACAAAGGCGUUACUACUUGCUUAGACUUUAUAGCAAAGCAAUAAUUACACUGUGUCCAGCAAAUUAGUGUGGUGAUAUUAGCUGUGAUAGUUUGAAUCUUUCAAUACCAAUGUUGACGAUAACAAAAAGGGAAAAUUUUAAAACCAGGGACUUGCUGACAUUUAUCAUCUUCAAUUAUAUGAACAGCUGAAAUUGGUCACACGUGUUCUGAUUCCUCAGCCAGUGCACAAAGAGCACACAAAAAUGCUGCAACAAAGUGUUUUCUUAUAGUACAUUAAUAAUCGCCCUCAAAGGCUUAUAAAUCAUUAACUCCACAGAGUACCUGAGUGCCCUCCAGUGUUCAAGAGACAAACUACACAUGUGUUAUAUUAAGAUUUAGCAGCUUGAUUUUCUUUUUUGCUGGUUGGAGCACAAGGUGACAGCUGGUGUGAUUCUGCAGAGCCUGACUGUGAAAGGAGCUCUGGAAAUAAAGAAACUGCUUGAGAUGAAUCACAGAAGCUACAGAAAAAAACCUGCAUGUUGUUCUCUGUCAGCAGCAUCCCAUUCGUUAUCUUGAAAAUGGUGCAUAAUUUAAUUCAGUGUAACUAUGAUGGUGGUGGUGAGGGAGGUUAACAAUGAAAUUAUAAUAUAUAUUAUCUGUAUUUACCUGAAACCAUAUAUCCAUAUCUCUCAAAUAUUUCUGUCAAAAUAAAAGCGAGUUAGUAGCAAUAAUUGCAGUGUUUCCGUAUUCUUCCAGUGGUGCAGGUUACUGUAAACUGU
ensembl:lncRNA